rnacentral:pre_miRNA from 1 species
UUUGUACUCCCUCCAUCCCAAAAUUCUUGUCUUAAAUUUUUCUAAAUAUGGAUGUAUCUAGUUACAUUUUAGUGUUAGAUACAUUUGUAUCUAAACAAAUGUAAGACAAGAAUUUUGGGACGGAGGGAAUACUAC